rnacentral:rRNA from 1 species
AAUCUUCCGCAAUGGACGAAAGUCUGUCGGAGCAACGCCGCGUGAGCGAAGAAGGCCUUCGGGUCGUAAAGCUUUGUUGAGAGGGAAGAACAAGUAUCGGCGUAACCGCCGGUACUCUCACGGUACCUAUCCAGAAAGCAACCGCUAACUACAUGCACGCAGCCGCGGUAAUACGUAGGUGGCACGCGUUGUCCGGAAUUAUUGGGCGUAAAGCGCGCGCAGGCGGUCUCUUAAGUCUGAUGUGAAAGCCCCCGGCUCAACCGGGGAGGGUCAUUGGAAACUGGGAGACUUGAGUGCAGAAGAGAAGAGCGGAAUUCCACGUGUAGCGGUGAAAUGCGUAGAGAUGUGGAGGAACACCAGUGGCGAAGGCGGCUCUUUGGUCUGUAACUGACGCUGAGGCGCGAAAGCGUGGGGAGCAAACAGG